rnacentral:tRNA from 1 species
ACAUUGAUGGUUCAGUGGUAGAAUUCCUGCCUUCCAAGCAGUUGACCUGGAUUUGACUUCUUGGCCAAUGAA